CAGUCGCCGCGGUAAUACGUAGGGUGCAAGCGUUAAUCGGAAUUACUGGGCGUAAAGCGUGUGUAGGUGGUUGUUUAAGUCUGUCGUGAAAGCCCUGGGCUCAACCUGGGAAUUGCGAUGGAUACUGGGCGACUAGAGUGCGGUAGGGGAUAGUGGAAUUUCCGGUGUAGCAGUGAAAUGCGUAGAGAUCGGAAGGAACAUCUGUGGCGAAGGCGACUAUCUGGGCCGACACUGACACUGAGACACGAAAGCGUGGGGAGCAAACAGGAUUAGAUACCCCCGUAGUCCCUGUCUCUUAUAC
rnacentral:rRNA from 1 species